CGUCACCCACGCUCGCCCCCAAAGCUCCACCGAGCCGCCGCCUGUGCUCGGCCGCUCCCGGCCCUCUCCGGCUCCGGCGAGUUAGGGCUUUGGUCUGCCCCACCGAGCUCUAUAUUUCCCCCCAAAACUAUCUGGUCAAUCCUGCCUCUCGCGCUCAUGCUCACCUCCGGAACCCUAGCUACUGCCAGCCGAUUCGGCCGUUGACGCCCCUACUCCGGCUGGCUCCGGUCGUCCCCGCACCACCCUGACCUCCUCCUCUCCGAUGAUCGCUGGACGGCAGCGUUGCUGCAACCCGAACGCCAUUGAUCUCCUGCCUUGUGACAUUGCUGUCGUGGUAGUGUAUUGACGGUGAGGUGGUGCUUCUGUGAGCUGCGACGCUCGACAUCGAUGGACGGCGCUAUAGGCGCAACCUCGGUGUCGGUGUACUGGUGGUGCUGUUGCUGUUCCCGCCGCAUCCUCGACCUCGACGACGGCGGGACGGUGCCCUGGACGCAACCCCGGCACCGGUCUCUUCCUUUAUUCGCCCGCACCACUGUACAAGACAAAAGAAAAAUAGAAGAUAUUUAGAUAGGAUUAGCUUAGUUUUUCUUCCUGUAUUUUAUUCUUGUAAUAUUUGUAAGUUGUAUUAAUAUUGGAUAUUGUAAAUGACUUUGUAAAUGUGUAUUCAAUUAAUGAAAUGUAAUUUCCCUA